GGCGUGCUUAACACAUGCAAGUCGUACGAGAACUCUUUAGCUUGCUAAAGAUAGUAAAGUGGCGCACGGGUGAGUAACGCGUGGGUAAUCUGCCUCCGAAUCGGGGAUAACAUUGCGAAAGCGAUGCUAAUACCGGAUAACAUCUCAAAACCAUCUGGUUUUGAAAUUUAAAAAUGGCCUCUACAUGUAAGCUGUUGUUUGGAGAUGAGCCCGCGUACCAUUAGCUUGUUGGUAGGGUAAUGGCCUACCAAGGCCACGAUGGUUAGCUGGUCUGAGAGGAUGAUCAGCCACACUGGAACUGACACACGGUCCAGACUCCUACGGGAGGCAGCAGUGAGGAAUUUUGCGCAAUGGGGGAAACCCUGACGCAGCAACGCCGCGUGAGUGAUGAAGGCCUUCGGGUCGUAAAGCUCUGUCAAGUGGGAAGAAACUGUAAAAUGCUAAUAUCAUUUUAUACUGACGGUACCACUGAAGGAAGCACCGGCUAACUCCGUG
rnacentral:rRNA from 1 species